rnacentral:rRNA from 2 species
CACCCAGGACGGUGGAUCACUCGGCUCGUGGGUCGAUGAAGAACGCAGCAAAUUGCGCGUCGACAUGUGAACUGCAGGACACAUGAACAUCGACGUUUCGAACGCACAUUGCGGUCCAUGGAUCCCGUUCCCGGGCCACGUCUGGCUGAGGGUCG